rnacentral:rRNA from 1 species
UACGUAGGGGGCAAGCGUUGUCCGGAUUUAUUGGGCGUAAAGAGCGUGUAGGCGGCCAAGCAGGUCCGCUGUGAAAACUCGAGGCUCAACCUCGAGAGGUCGGUGGAAACCGUUUGGCUAGAGUCCGGAAGAGGAGAGUGGAAUUCCCGGUGUAGCGGUGAAAUGCGUAGAGAUGUGGAGGAACACCAGUGGCGAAGGCGGCUUUCUGGUCUGUAACUGACGCUGAGGCGCGAAAGCGUGGGGAGCAAACAGG